rnacentral:rRNA from 1 species
AUUGCCUUAGUAACGGCGAGUGAAGCGGCAAAAGCUCAGAUUUGAAAUCUGGUGUCAUUUUGGCAUCCGAGUUGUAGUCUGUAGAGGUGUAUUCGAGUGUGGAUUUGGCUUAAGUUCCUUGGAACAGGGCGUCAUAGAGGGUGAGAACCCCGUUAAUGGCCUUUGUCUUAUGCUCAUGUGAAUCUCCUUCAACGAGUCGAGUUGUUUGGGAAUGCAGCUCURAAUGGGUGGUAAAUUCCAUCUAAAGCUAAAUACUGGCAAGAGACCGAUAGCGCACAAGUAGAGUGAUCGAAAGAUGAAAAGAACUCUGAACAGAGAGUUAAAUAGUACGUGAAAUUGUUGAAAGGGAAGCACUUGUGACCAGACGCACUUGCAGCCGAUCAAUUCUCAUUUUUGAGGGUGCACUCGGUUGUCUGUGGGUCASCAUCAGUUAUAGCGGUAGGAAAAAGACUUGGGGAAUGUAGCUCCUUUCGGGGAGUGUUAUAGCCUUGUGUGCAAUGCUGCCUGCUGUGACUGAGGACCGCGCUUUGGCGAGGAUGCUGACAUAAUGGUCGUAAGUGACCCGUCUUGAAACACGGACCAAGGAGUCUAACAUCUAUGCGAGUGUUUGGGUGUACAAACCCUUACGCGGAAUGAAAGUAAAUGGAGGUGGGAACCGCAAGGUGCACCAUCGACCGAUCCUGAUGUUUUCGGAUGGAUUUGAGUAGGAGCAUA